UCCAAAAGAGGCUUCUCAAAAGGAAACCAGCAUUUUGUCAUGACCGGAAGAUCUACAUACGCUGAGACGCACCACUCCCACCAGGUUCAGGACUUCACUCUAUCCAGACAGAAUAUCAGCGUUCUUCUUGAGAAAGGAUGUUGCCUUAGAAAUGCUUGAAGGUGUUUCUGUAUAAAGACAAGAGACGAAUCUAAUUGAUCUCAA